UCCCUAGCCAUAUAAUUUUGUCUAUAAAUGUGACAUUUUACACCAUUCAAAACGAAUGGUUACCGUACAUUAUUCUAAUAUGGUGAUACAAACUACUACUUUGAUGCCGCUAGCCAAAUUUCCCGACUAUAGGAAGUGACGUCAUAAACGAUAACACGUAACGAUGUUAGCAACGUUAACGUUACACGUUUGAUGUUGAUGUGUUCUUGAAAACUGAUGAUAAUCGUUCUGGAUUUACCGCAUUGAUGUUCAUUUAAAGAACCCCGAACCCUUUUCCUGUCCUGGGCGGAGGAGCCGGCCGAGGUGUACACCUGCUCCUAUGACAGCCGUGUGCUACAACAGCUUGUUCUGAAUGUGCACGUUAAAACCUAUGACUUGACCUGACCUCUGUUUAAAAAGGAGCACCUAUAGGUUUCAGAGAGGGGUGUAACAUUUAAAAUGAAACCUGCAUUAUUCCAAAGUAUACUAACAUGCAUUGUAUAAUUGUACAACACAAUGGUUAUUUCGGGACAUAUGAGAGUCCAUGGGGUGUGAACACUCACCACCCUUCUUUGAAUCCGCGCAUGGUGUUAACCUCGUAACAACACUGCGAAAUAUCAAUACAUCAAUAAAUACAUACUAAUCAUAA